rnacentral:sRNA from 1 species
CUCAAGCUCAUCAGCUUCUACUUGCCUUCUCUGCUGCUCACCAAGUAAUACUCCAAUCUCUUUCUCAUAAUCAUCCCCAAAAGAUGAAU